AAAAAUGGAAGAAGAAUAUGUUAUGGUGGAUAUACCUUUUAGAAAGAGAAAAUGAAAGUUAACGUUGAUGGACACUGUCUUAUAAAAAGUUAUGGGCAUGGAUAUUUAUAUAUUUAAUUUAUUUUCUCUUUAUCAAAAAAAAAAACUUUUCUCUUUGUCAUCAAAUAUUUUAGAUGUUCAAUAUUGUGUGACACAAUGGAAAGAUUGAUUGAUCUUUAAAUCUUAAAGAUCUUAAACUUGUUUAGUAGUCUGAAUUGUUUCUUGAUUAUGAUAUUU
rnacentral:lncRNA from 1 species